ACGCCCGCCCGGCGGCCCGGAGUCCCGCCCCACGCCCAGAGCGGGCCAGAGGGCGGGGAACCGAGAACCCCCGCCCUCCGGGCGCCUCUUGCGCCUCGGGGUGGGGUGGCAGGGCUAUUUGGGCCGCGCAGCUGGAAACCUGGGAACUAGGAUUGUAAUCCUGAACUCCUAAAUCCAAACUGCAGACUGGAAGUUACCAAAAAAAAGUCACAGUAGUUCCUUGAUCAGAUACAAAGAUGACAGAGCCCGACAUACCAGGACCUGGAAAGGUCACUGGGGACUCAUCACUGAAGAAGACAGAUCCAUUCCCACGUGGAGCUUACAUUGUGUGGGCAGGAGGCGAAGAGGGGGUCUAAAGGGAAGAGCACUUUGGUCAAAGUAACAGGCGCAUAAAUGCGGAGAAUGAGGAUACCCGGCUUGCUGGAGGAUCAAGGGAAGCGCUGCUGGGUUAGGGUCUCCCCAACCGAGCUGGUCUCGGCAAGUAGCACCCAACGUGGGACCUCGAAUCCAGGCCGAAGGGUCGCCAGAGCCACGGUUGGAACGGAAAACUAGCUGGAGGACACCCGAGUACUCUUAAAGUAAUCCCUGUGGCCAAAAUCGACAGCCGAUUUGGAUACCAUCCAGACACCUAAAACCUUAUCAUGAGCCAUAUGCCAAGGAAGAGACUCUGGGAGCAUCCCGAGGACCCCCCAGUUGCAGCCAUGUCGAGACUAACGCUGAGGAGGACCCCAACUGUCACGAGCAACGUGCAUCGAACACAGCCACCCACCUGGGACAGAUCAAGAAGCUGUCACAGAUGGCAGAAGAAAACCUAAGGAAAGCCAGACAACCAGUCACAAUGAAUAAUUUAAUGGUAGCUAUGAUAGCGGUUAUCACCACUGCCAUGAGCAUUCCUUCAAUAAGGGCUGGUAAUAAUGCCUGGAUGCAAUCACUCUGACACAGUUACACAUGCUUUCUGAUCUCAGUAUUUACCAGAAUAAAUCUGCUCCUAUAAUUGAGGCAUACUGCCCUUAA